GGUACCCGUGGAUUCUACUUGGAGAAGAGGACCGACUGCUUUGUGUCAACAUAGCAGAUGACGUCAAAGAGGGGGAGAACUGAAGUAUAUGUGACCUGCCUCGCAAAUACAGCUGAGGGGAAUGUGGUUCCGGUGAUUGAGGACUCUCCAAAAUGUGUUCUGGUGGCUGAGGCAACACAGUUGAAAUACGACGUGGGGGUGGGCUUAAUGCUGGUGUUGGAGCGACAUCAGGACGACAUCUCUUGGUAGGCCUGCUCGUGUGGCUGCCAGACCCCCUGUGAAGGACGUCUUUGUGGACUGUGAUGCGAUGUUGAAGUUCCUAUGGAUUAAUGCAAACAUUAGAUUGUUUGGAAAUUUUGUGGUGGGCACAUUAACUGGUGUCAAUUUUGCGUUACCUGUAUCGCCAGCAUCCACAGCUCUUGACAGUGUUGCUUGUGUUCUGGAAGUGGUGGCUUGCUUUCGUACUGUAAAAAUGUUAAGUUGGUGUUUAUGACCA